rnacentral:rRNA from 1 species
ACGGAGGAAGGUGCAGAAUUGCGCGUUGUCAUUUAUAAACUAAUUGUUAGAGUUCUUUGAUUUGUUGCAAAACUUGAUGAUGGCAGCGAGCAUCAAGUUGCCCAAUAUGAUGUGGAGUUUGAGGUUAACAUGAAACGUUUUUCGGUUGAAAAAAUGAUAGAACUCAUUGGGUCCAAAAUUGUUUGGGGGAGCGGACAAGAGGUCCAUAUUUUGUGCAAGGACAAGCAUUUUGACUCAGUUGAGAGGAUUGAUGUAUACUGGAAGUUGCUGACAUCAUUUCUUGAGAGAUGGGAAGAGAAAGAAUUGCUUGUGCUUGCUCAAGUUGUGGAAAUUGCAAAGGGGUUUACGGCAUCAUCUUGUUCAGAAAAUAUCCCAUCUAGUGAGAUAGUCGACAACAUCAUUUCCUCAAGUUCUGAUGUUUACCAGUCAAAUGCUAGUAGUGCAUCAUGUGUUGACGAUGGUAAUGUGCUUUGUAAAUGA